rnacentral:lncRNA from 1 species
CAAGUUACACCUCCUGCUGAAAUCCUUGCGACACUUGAGAUGAUCCCUGAUCUAGCUCGUGGUGACAUAUUGCGAUCUUAUGGUAAGUUGAUCCUUACCGAACGCUUGUACCAAGCGCUUCUUGAGCUUCCCAUGAACUUCAGGAAGGAAUGGCUGUUGAUGUUGAAUUAGUAGAAUGGCUCUUGAUGGAUAAUAUGUAUGUGUGUUGCUACUUUUAGUUCUCCUAGUUUGUGAGAGACUUCUAAACUUGUCCUAAAGUUGCAUUGUUAUGCACAAGACUUGCUAUGUGUUCUGGAUGGUGUGAGACAUGUUAUAAUAUGUAAUGUUGUUGGCAAGGUUACCAUAAUAUGUUGCUGCUGAUAUUUUUGGACAAAUUGAUGUUCUCAAGUUCAUAAUGAUAUGUGGCUGUUACAUAUAGUUUUCAGCCUAAUUUUUCAUGUUUUUGAACAGUUGAUAGUGUUAUCAAGUUCAUCAUAAUAUGCUGCUGUAUACUACUGUAAUGUAUAGUUUUCAGCCUAUUUUUCAUGUUUUUGAGGAGUUGAUCUUGUCCAGUGCAUGAUAAUGUGCUCAUGUUGCCUAUGUACACUUUUCAGCAAAUUUUUCAUGUAUUUUGGACAAUUGAUGUUGUCUGUGCCAAUUUUUAAAUUAUUUGCAUGCAUUUUUAUUGUAUUAUAAUACAUAAUCUCUCAAAUAUAUGGCAUGAUGAUCAAAUUUAAUGUUCAUACAUGUCACAAUGCCCAAUUCUACACUAUGCGCAUCCAAACAAGAUUUGGCAUUGCUCCGUCCCUUGAAUUCCAAGUGUCGAAUACAAGAACAUCCAAACAGAAAGUGUGGCAUUGCAGCUCAAUGCCAAUGCCUUGGGAUAUUAGGCAUUGGAGCCAAUGCAAUAUACAGGUCUUGGAUGUCUACAUCCAAACAGAGCGUUAGGGUAUUUGUAACCACAGGGACUAAACCUGGCGCUAGCGCGAGUAAUUGGACCUGUAGUGAAUUUUUCUCUAGCUUAAAUAUGUAUAUAUGGUUCAGAAUUUGAAAACAUUUGUAUUCUCUGGCCAGCCCAACUUUUCUUUUGUAGCUCCGCCACUUCUUUAAUCGCAAAUAGAAAAACAUGUAUGGUUAAAAAUUAGACCAACAACACAAGGGAGUGUAUAUAUGUAUGUGUAUGCACUAGUAAAAAAGGACCAUUUGUUCCGGUUCGUAAGGGCCUUUUGUCCUGGUUUAAAAACCGGGACUAAAAGGUCGGUACUAAUGCCCUUGGCCUUUAGUGCCGGUUCUUACACGAACCGGGACAGAUAGGCCUCCACGUGGCCACUGCGGGCAGCCCAGGCAAGGGGGGGCCUUUGGUCCCGGUUGGUGACAUAAACCGGGACCAAAAGGCAUCCACGCGUCAGCAACUGGCUGGAGCUGAGGUUUUUUUUUGGAAGGGGCUGAUUUAGGGGUUUUGGGGGUUAAUUUAGGUUGUUAUUAGCUGGCUAAUAGAGAGAAGUGGCCUCUCUUAUAUCUUCGUGCUUCGUUUACCAACGCUACUGCUAUGUUCAUUUCACCCGCUGAUAUAUAAUAACUCUUCAUGCUUGCAUCAUACAUCAUCAUAUAUAAUAACAAGUCCUACUAAUCAUGCAUCAUCAUAUAACUUCUACUCGUUAUUAAUAACAAGUCAUACGAUCAUCAUCCUCAUAGUCAUCGAACCCAACCCUACUUAAUUGUUCUUAGCACAUGUUCAUCAGUAUCAGGUAGGACCUAAACACCCUUAAGGUAAAAUAGCAUAAAACAAUAUAGACCCUGACUCUCCAUUAUGAAGAAUGGAGAUCAUCCUUCUCCAAUUCUUGCGCUUCGCUUCCUUUUGCUUCCAAGAACCUCCUUACGACUGUCCAUACAUUUUUUCCAUUCUUUGAUUGUCAUGUCUCCACUUCUUUUAGAAAUCCGGUAUGGAUAGUUGAGAUUCGUAGGAUGACCUGGUUGUAUGUUCAAAACAUCAAGGCGACCAUGCGUAUACAUCAGAUGAGGCACACAAUCAUUCGGGAUUAUCUGUUGAAAAACAUAGUAAUAACUUCGUAGUUAGCAAAGAUGUACUAGUUUUAGAAGUAUGCAAAAGAUGCACGGAUGUCGUUAUAGUAAAAAAUCUUACCAGGGUAUCUCCAUGGUAGUUUCCGUAGUUCAACACGUGCACUAGUGGCACGUAUUGACCAUAAUGUUGAGGAGUUCGAUUGUAGAUAUUGUAAUUCUCAAGAUCAGUACAAAAUGCGAUCAGAUGCUUUUUCUCCUUAUAAGUUAAUUCGGAGCCAUUGGUGUAGUGGGUUUUGUCUACCAUCUUUCGCACAUUCUUUGAAGAAUGAAAAUAAGCUGUCAAUGGAAAUAAGUUGUCAACUAUUUUGAAAUAAACAAUAUAUACUUAAUAACUAUGUUUGAGAAGCUCACAUGAGGGAAGAAUUGGAAGUGUAACAACAAGGACCCAAAUGUCCAUAUUGUCUUGCUCAAUUUUAAGAUCACCAAGAUCCAUGGUGACAAGCAUACCCUCAUCAAAACCAUACAUCUUGCAAAUUACUUCCCAAUUUUUGCAACCAAAAUGGGUUACACUCUCAGAAUUGUACAGCUUUACUUCAAAAUCCACACCAUGAUGGGUCCUUAGGUGAAUUUUUUUGGUUUCCAUACUUUCAUGGUCUUCAAAAUCCAUCCUCUCCAAGACAUAGCGUCUUGUAUAGCAUGGGAUAAGCUAGUUGAAUUGGAAAAGAUGAAAAGUACACGUUAAAAUAGUUGAAGUCGUUCUUAAUUACGAAAAAAAUUAUUGUCGUCGUUGCGUACCGUUUCAACAUCGAAGGUCUCCUCGAGCUUAAUGCUGAAGCGUUGAUCUUCGUCCAGCUCAAGGAACCUGUCGCACAUACCUCGGUCGUCAUGGCACCAGUCGCACUCCCCCGGGCGGUUUUCGUCGUCCGGGUACGAAAUUUCUGGCUAAUGUUCAUAAUUCAAAUAUUAAACUUGUACAAUUAAAUAUAUGUACUAAAAAACCUAAAUUAGUUCAUUAUUAUUAAUCACGGGUUGACUAUCGGUGAUGGUAGCUCCUCCUUUCAUUCCCGAGUGCAUUAUUACACCAAAUUGUCUAGCACACGGGAAUGAAGGAGAAGCUACCCCCACGACGGCGUGGAUGAUGGAGGGGGCUCCUAGAUUUCUGCAUAGUGCUCUCCAAUUUUAGCAUUCAAAGUAGGAGUACUUUUCCAAUAUGAGCAUUCAAUAAGCAAAACCAAAUUGUAAAAUAAAGUAGUAUUCAAAUUAGCAUGCAUUCAAUUAUAAGCAAAAGUACAUCAUCUCUUGUGUCCGUACAUUGUCGAAUAUUAUCACUAAUACUCCUCAAAUACUAUCAUACAUGUAGCAUCGCUAAUACAACUAGAAUCGUAGCGCCCGACGGGUAUCAUCGCGGGCGGUGGACACCCAAAGAUAAGGAACCAUCACAGGAUCAUAGCUCCAGUGAGAUCCCUGAAAAACCUGUCAGGUAUUGUCGAACCUGCCCUCCAACGCAACCAUGUGGCGACGAACGUGCUCGUCCUCCUCGCUGACACGGUGACGUACCACCUCCGCGGUGUCCGGAAGCCUCGGCACCAUCACUGGCCCACGCGACUGCCACCAAACAAGGAUCGGGUCAACAACGGGCUGGCUCCUUACCAACCUACGCCCCCCGGAAGGUAGCACCUCCCAAUACCAGCCCGGCGGAGCCCAGUCCCGGACAUGGCCCUGAUCAAGCAGGCCUCCACCGUCGAGUCGACGACAAGGAUACGGGAUAGGCAUCGUCGUCGUCGAUGCGGGAUUAAUUGCUUGAACUAAAAAAAUAAACUAGUUCUAUUAAUUUUCUUGCUAAAAAUAAACUACUUCUAUAUAUAUAAUAAAAUAAAGUUGUUUUAUUAAAUCAACUAGUUCAACUACUAAGCACUUACUAUAAAUAAAUAAAGUAGUACUCCCUCCGUCCGGAAAUACUUGUCAUCAAAAUGGAUAAAAGGGGAUGUAUCUAGACAUAUUUUAGUUCUAGAUACAUUUUUUUAAUCCAUUUUGAUGACAAGUAUUUUCAGACAGAGGGAGUACUUACUAAAAAUAAACUACUUCUAUAGUAAAAUAAAGUAGUUUAUUAAAUCAACUAGUUCAACUAUAUAUUAAGCACUUACUAUAAAUAACAUAAAGUAGUACUUACUAAAAAUAAACUAGUUUAACUAGUUCUAUUAUUUUUCUAACUAAUUAUAUUAAACACUUUCUCUUCUUAUUUUCCUUUUUCCUCUCCUGCUUUUUCUUCUAAAUAUGAACAUAUACAUAAAUGACUUUGAUCAUACACAAUUUUCCUAUACAUACACAAUAUGAACAUAUACAUAAAUUGACAAAGAAAAUUCUAUGAAGAAAAAAAUCAUUAAAAUUCUAUGAACAAAAUUACAACAAAAAAAUCAUAAAAAUUCUAUGAACAGAAAAAAAAUCAUAAAAAAUUGACUUAUUCGAUCUUUGCAUAUAUAUGAGCAUAGAAACAUAUAUAUUCAACAAUAAUACCACCCAAAAAAAAUCUAUGAACUGAAAAAAAAUCUAACACAAUAUGAAAAAAAUCUAAUUAAAAAAAUCUAUGAACAAAACCUAACUCAAUUAACUACACAUCUAAAUUACUACACAUCUAAAUUAACUACACAUCUAAUUAAAUUAGCAAAAUUUGCUAUAACCUCACGGGGAUGGCGACGACGUGAGGGGCGCGGCGAGGGCGACGGGCAUGGAACGGCGACGGCGACUGUGCGUGAGGGGCGGCGCGGUGAUGGGCGACGGUGAGGGGCAGCGCGACGACGGGCGACGAGCGAGGCAGGGCCGGCGGCGUCGCGGAGCACGGGGCGCGGGGCGACGACGGCGUNNNNNNNNNNNNNNNNNNNNNNNNNNNNNNNNNNNNNNNNNNNNNNNNNNNNNNNNNNNNNNNNNNNNNNNNNNNNNNNNNNNNNNNNNNNNNNNNNNNNNNNNNNNNNNNNNNNNNNNNNNNNNNNNNNNNNNNNNNNNNNNNNNNNNNNNNNNNNNNNNNNNNNNNNNNNNNNNNNNNNNNNNNNNNNNNNNNNNNNNNNNNNNNNNNNNNNNNNNNGGGACCAAAGGCCUCUUUUCAGCAGCCCAAAGGGCGGGAAGCAGAGGGCUUUGGUCCCGGUUGGUGGCACCAACCGGGACUAAAGGGGGGGGGCAAUUGUACCGGUUCGUGCCACCAACCGGGACCAAUGCACCCCUUUAGUCCCGGUUGGUGGCACCAACCGGGACCAAAGGCCUUGUGCUGGCGCGAUGCGGUGGGAAGUUUAUUCCCACCUCGCUAGCUAAGAGAGCUCAGCACCUAUUUAUAAGCUGCGUUGCAGCUUAGGUGCUGAGCUCCUCUCUAAUAUGCAGGCAUUAGUUGCCUACCCUUGUCACUAUCGUGUUGAGCCUAUUGGGCCUGCGGGCCUGCAUCCUGGCCCAUGUACAGAUGGGUUUCUAGUCGUAUGUAGACCGUGUGGCCCAUUAGGCGGCAUUUUUUAUUUUUUUCCAGUAUUUUUUUGUUUUUUGAAUUAUUUAUUUUCUUUUGAUUUUUGCUUUAUUUUUUUAUUCUUUUUACUUUUACCUCAGAAUAAUUAUAAUCUUUCUGUUACUCCAUUAGUUUCCAAAUUUGAAUAGUUUAAAUUUUAAUUCUUUGAAAUUUGUGUGAAUCACUAGUUUGUGAAUAACUUCACUAUAAAAAUAUAUUUUGAGUGAUUCUUUUUCCUGCUAUAUAAUAUUACUGCAUUUUAUCAUUAUAUUCAAAAACAGAUUUUGUUAUUUUAGUUUCUAUCAAAAAAAUCUUUAUGAAAAUUCUUUUUACUACUAAAGUUUCUAACAAAAAAUUCUUUAUGAUAAUUCUUUCUGCUUUUCAUGUUUUGAACAGAAAAUACUUUGAUAAUUUUAGUUGCAUAAAUUUUAUAUAAUUUUAGUUUAAAAAAUACUAGAGGUUUAUAAAAGCUUUUUGGUUGAUUCCUUUUGCUAUUAGAGUUUUAUAAAAGCAUUUACUGUUUUUUUGAGCUAUAAGACCUUGAAAUUGAAAAGCAUUUCAAAUGAACUCUGAAAAGGUCAAAAGUUGGCAUGGUAUCAUCAUUUCACCCACAUAGCAUGUGCUAAAAAGUUGAGAGGGUUAUGGGAAAAACUGGAUACACUUCGUGUACAAAAUGGACAAUCUCGUUCGAGGUAUUAGGGUUUCAUACAGAAACUCAUCUGUUACACAAGGAUUUCAUUUUUUUAAACUUAUUUGAACUCCUGACUUUUUGUGUGUUCAAAAUGCACCAUUCAAAGCCACAUCAUCAAUUUUCAACCAUCUCUGACUUCGUUUGUUAUUUUUCAUGCAUUUACUAAUUAUUUUGAGCUAUAAGACCCUAAAAUUGAAAAGCAUUUCAAAUGAACUCUGAAAAGGUUGGAAGUUGGCAUGGUAUCAUCAUUUCAUCCACAUAGCAUGUGCAAGAAAGUUGAGUAGGUUACCGCAAAAACUGGAUGCACUUCAUGUACAAAACGGACAAUCUCUUUCGAAGUAUUUGGAUUUCAUACGGAAACUUGUCUGUUACAAUAGGCAUUUCAAAUGAAUUACGAAAAGGUUGAAAGUUGGUAUGGUAUCAUCAUAAUAGUUGUGGACAAAGUCUUGACUUUUUCUUCGCUUGUGUCCUUUCCUUAUGCGCCAUAACCAUGGAUAAUCUUCAUCAUUUAUCAGGAUGUUUGGGUCAGCCUUGACUUUGUAGGGAGGAAUUUCAUGAAACUUUUCAUAAUCUUCGGGCAUGUCUGUCUUGCCCUCCACUCCCACGAUGUCCCUUUUUCCUGAAACAACUAUGUGGUGCUUUGGCUCAUUGUAUGAUGUAUUCGCUUCCUUAUUUUUUCUUUUUCUCGGUUUGGUAGACAUGUCCUUCACAUAGAUAACUUGUGCCACAUCAUUGGCUAGGACGAACGGUUCGUUAGUGUACCCAAGAUUGUUCAGAUCCACUAUUGUCAUUCCAUACUGUGGGUCUACCUGUACCCCGCCUCCUGACAGAUUGACCCAUUUGCAUUUAAACAAAGGGACCUUAAAAUCUACUCCAUAGUCAAGUUCCCAUAUGUCCACUAUGUAACCAUAAUAUGUGUCCUUUCCCCUCUCGAUUGCUACAUCAAAGCGGACACCGCUGUUUUGGUUGGUGCUCUUUUGAUCUUGGAUGAUCGUGUAAAAUGUAUUCCCAUUUAUCUCGUAUCCUUUCCAAGUCAUUAGAGUCGAAGAUGGUCCCCUGGACAACGAGUACAGCUCAUCACAAACAGUGUUUUCACCUCUGAGACAUGUUUCCAACCAACUGCUGAAAGUCCUGAUGUGUUCACAUGUAAUCCAGUCGUUGCACUGCUCCGGGUGUUUGGAGCACAGACGGUUCUUGUGUUCAUCGACAUAAGGGGUCACCAAGGUAGUGUUCUGUAGAACUGUGUUAGUGUGCUUGAGACCAAGAAUAUCUGUCCCUGCAUAUUAUUGUCUCCCCUCCAAGCAUGCCUUUUCCAGUCAGUCUCCCCUCGUACCGUGAUUUAGGGAGACCUGUCUUAUUAAGGCCAGGAAUGAAGUCAACACAAGACCCAAUGACAUCCUCUGUUUGAUGGCCCAUGGAGAUGCUUCCUUCUGGCCUAGCGCGGUUACGGACAUAUUACUUUAGGACUCCCAUGAACCACUCAAAGGGGUACAUAUUGUGUAGAAAUAUGGGGCCCAAAAUGACAAUCUCAUCAACUAGAUGAACUAGGACCACUACUAGCGAAAAGCCUAGCAGCAGCGCGGGUUUUGGGCCUCUCGAUAGCGCGAGGACCGGCGCUACUAAUAAGGCGCUACAACUAAUGUAUAGCAGUAGCGCCUGUUGUUCCACGCUACUGCUAUACAUGAAUAGCAGUAGCGCUCUUUAGAAAAGGGCACUGCUGAUGUUAUCUGCAGCGCUGUUUACAGGGAAGCGCUACUAGUAAGGCGGCGCUACUGCUAAAUUUUUUCCCCUCACUACUACUAGUUUUAUUAGUUUUUUUCCUGCAUAUUUGUUUUGUAUUAGAAUAGGGUUUAUACAAUAAUCUUUAGCAUAUCAUACACAUACAAAUAUAAUCAUAGCAUAUACAUACAAUUAGUCUCAUCAAAUCAUGUCAUCCUCAUAAUCAUCAUCCAACACAAAGUGGUCUCUCGCCAUCAUCUCGAAAAUAGCGAUACAAGUCUCGAUUACUUGCAAAUACAUCAUCAUCCAUCUAAACAAUGAUAUACGCGAGAAGAGCUAUCACUUUGAGUACAUGAGUUUGUAUCCCUCUCUCGCAUUAGCGUCAACCUAAACUAACUACUGCCUGUCGCUCGGAAACCGAAAACCGGUACACCUGGGCCUGACACUCCGGCCACUUGUCGUAUAUAUACUCCUGGCGUAGCACUUCUUCGUCAUAUAUGAUCUAUGCACCUGCAUCGUCACAUGAGUCGAUGAUAUGCAACAUAUAUAGUUGAGAAACAGAAAGAGACAGACUUGGCAAAAAUAGAAACAACAUAUCAUAAGCAUAAAUAACAAAGUUCAUCGUACCCACCAGUCUAGUAGUCUUGAGUUUGUUAGGAAGCCGUUGCCUCUUUGCUUUCGGUUCUACACCGCUCCACUCCCCGAGGCAGCACCGGUCUCAGUCUCAGCACCGGUCUUGAUGCCGGUCUGAGUCUCAGCGCCGGUCUCAGUCUCAGCACCGGUCUGCGUGUCGGUCUCAGUCCACGAUGCCACCGGUGGGCCCAGCAACAACAUUGGUUGAUCAUCGGUAAGGCUAAAAAAUUCGUCUGCCGCCCGGUAGACGUCGUCACAAUCACCAGAACCCUGUCCUUCAUCGUUGCUAGCCAUGUUUCCUAUUAUUAAAUCUAGUUAAUUAAUUCUAGACCUAAUAAAAUGAAUAAUGACAUAAAAAGGCCUAUUGUUUUGCAGGAAUGUUGACUCCUUCCUGGUGCGGCAAAUUCCGGGCACUCAAUAUGUCCUAGUUUGUAGCACAAGUCAUGCCGAAAUUCACUGAAAAUUUCGGCAUGACCUUUGCUAAAAAGUGAACAAAUCGAGAACCUGAAAUUUGCUGGAACAGAAAUGAAUCAACAUUCCGACAAAACAUAGGCCACUCAGCAUCAUUCCCUGGAUACAACAAAGCCACUUGGGCACAAUCGAACAACUUCAGUGAAAAGAUAUAACAUGACCACUUCAAUGAAAAGAUAUAAUCAACAAUAAAAGUCUAGGAAGGGAUCAUCUUUAAAAUAAAAUUUGCCUAAAUUCUUUUCCUUGAAAAAUAGUGGUCUUUUCAAAAAUCAAAAACUUUUGCAAAAUGACCUCACUAAACACUUCUCUGCCUAGGACAGAACCCAAAUUAUGUUGAUCUAGCUAUUCCUCUCUCUCACACAAACACACAUUAUUAUCUCUAACCCUUCUCUGCUUAGGACAGAACCCAAUUAAAUUGCAAAGGAACUCCAUUUCUCUAACCCUUCUGACCUAAUGCUCUAAAAUAAAAUUUUCCUCUAACCUAGCCAACCUACUUAACCUAGCUUGUUAAUCCAAUGAACCUAAUUAACCUACCUAUUUAACCUAGUUAGUUAAUCUAGUUAACCUAGAUAAUUAACCCUAAUUAAACUAGUUAACGCAGCUAGUUCUCUGUCAAAGCCCUAAAUAAAUUUUUGCACUAAUUAACCUAGAUAAUUAACCUAAUUAAACUAGUUAACCUGACUAGUUAUCUGUCAAAGCCCUAACUAAAUUUUUGCACUAACCUAGAUAAUUAACCUAAUUAAACUAGUUAACCUAACUACUUCUCUGUCAAAGCCCUAACUAAAUUUUUGCCCUAACCUAGAUAUUAACCUAAUUAAACUAGCUAACCUAUGCAUGAGAGAGAGAGGAGGGGUGGGGGCUUAUAGAGGAUGGCUCCGGUGGUGGCAAGGGAGGCAAUGGUGGCGAGGGAGGCAAGGGCGUCUCCAGUGACGGCGAGGGAGGCAGUUGUGGCGAGGAAGGAUCCGGUGCCGUCGACGGCGGCUCCGGUGGCGUCGACGAGGCCGCGUGGCUCCGUGGCGUUGGGGGCGGCUCCGGUGGCGUCGAUGGCGCACGGCUCUGGUGGCGUCGACGUCGGCAGAAGACGGUGGCGAAGUGGGGCGACGGCGAAUCGGGGAGACGGCAGCGGGGUGGGUUGAGGGAUUUGGGGGAGAAGUGGUGACCGGGGGGAAACGGUUUUUUGGUUAAGUCAAACUUAGCGGUAGCGCGUUUGGUAAAACGCGCUAUAGCUAAGAUAGCUAUAGCGGUUUUUACAAAACACGUUGUUGCUAUAGCUAUAGCGCAUUUCCUUUUCUGUUUCUAUAGCGGGGGUUUAGGACACGCGCUGCAGCUACGUUAGCUAUAGCGCCUCUUACAAACACACGCUACUGCUCUGCCUUCCUCCGUUUUUUCGCUUUUUCAUUUAUUUUGCUUUACAUUUUAUUUUUUCCGUUCUCCUUUUUCUAUUUCUUUCAUUUUCAUUUACUUUUCUAUUUGUUUUUCAUCUUAUUUUUUUCCGUUAGUAGUAGCGCUUUUCUUAGAAAAUGCGCUACUACUUAUGCCCUAGCGGUAGCGCGCUUCUUUCAAGCCCGCUAUUGCUAUGCGUAGCCUAUCAUUCUAGCAAUCGGAAUAUUAGUAGUAGUGCUUUUGCCACUACACGCGCUACUGCUAAGGUUGUAUCUGUAACGCGGUUUUUUCUCAAUCGCUACUGCUAUCUAGCACUAGCGCCCUUUUUUGACCCGCGUUGUUGCUAAAUUUCUGUGUAUAAGGUUUUCCCUAGUAGUGGACGUGCGUCAUGAUGUUGAAGAAGGAUGGUGGGAACACCAGCUCGAAACUGAUAAGACAUUGCACCACAUCACUCCUUAGCCUUGGUAUGAUUUCUGGAUUGAUCACCUUCUGAGAGAUUGCAUUGAGGAAUGCACAUAGCUUCACAAUGGCUAAUCGUACGUUUUCCGGUAGAAGCCCCCUCAAUGCAACCGGAAGCAGUUGCAUCAUAAUCACGUGGCAGUCAUGAGACUUUAGGUUCUAAAACUUUUUCUCUGCCAUAUUUAUUAUUCCCUUUAUAUUCGACGAGAAGCCAGUCGGGACCUUCAUACUAAGCAGGCAUUCAAAGAAGUUUUCCUUCUCUUCUUUGGUAAGAGCGUAGCUGGCAGGACCUUCAUACUGCUUUGGAGGCAUGCCGUCUUUUUCAUGCAAACGUUGCAGGUCCUCCCGUGCCUCAGAUGUAUCUUUUGUCUUCCCAUACACACCCAACAAACCAAGCAGGUUCACGUAAAGGUUCUUCGUCACGUGCAUCACGUCGAUCGAAGAGCGGACCUCUAGGUCUUUCCAGUAGGGAAGGUCCCAAAAUAUAGAUUUCUUCUUCCACAUGGGUGCGUGUCCCUCAGCGUCACUCAGAACAGCUAGUCCGCCGGGACCCUUUCCAAAGAUUAUGUGUAAAUCAUUGACCAUAGCAAGUACGUGAUCACCGGUACGCAUGGCGGGCUUCUUCCGGUGAUUUGCCUCACCUUUGAAAUGCUUUCCUUUCUCUCAACAUUGAUGGUUGGUCGGAAGAAAUCGACGAUGACCUAGGUACACAUUCUUCCUGCAGCUUCCCAGGUAUAUACUUUCAGUGUCAGCUAAACAUUGCGUGCAUGCGUGGUAUCCCUUGUUUGUCUGUCCUGAAAGGUUACUAGGAGCGGGCCAAUCGUUGAUGGUUACAAACAACAACGCGUGCAGGUUAAAUUCCUCCUGUUUGUGCUCAUCCCACGCACGUACACCGUUUCCAUUCCAUAGCUGUAAAAGUUCUUCAACUAAUGGCCUUAGGUACACAUCAAUGUCGUUGCCGGGUUGCUUAGGUCCUUGGAUGAGAACUGACAUCAUAAUGAACUUCCGCUUCAUGCACAUCCAAGGAGGAAGGUUAUACAUACAUAGAGUCACGGGCCAGGUGCUGUGAUUGCUUCUUUGCUCCCCGAAAGGAUUAAUGCCAUCCGCGCUUAAACCAAACCAUACGUUCCUUGGGUCACGUGCAAACUGAGCACAAUACUCUCUCUCAAUUUUUCUCCACUGCGACCCGUCAGCGGGUGCUCUCAACUUCCCGUCUUUCUUACAGUCCUCACUGUGCCAUCGCAUCAACUUGGCAUGCUCUUUGUUUCUGAGCAGUCGUUUCAACUGUGGUAUUAUAGGAGCAUACCACAUCACCUUCGCAGGAACUCUCUUCCAGCGGGGCUCGCCGUCAACAUCACCAGGGGCAUCUCGUCUGAUCUUAUACCGCAAUGCACCGCAUACCGGGCAUGCGUUCAAAUCCUCGUACGCACCGCGGUAGAGGAUGCAGUCAUUAGGGCAUGCGUGUAUCUUCUGCACCUCCAAUCCUAGAGGGCAUACGACCUUCUUUAUUGCGUAUGUACUGUCGGGCAAUUCAUUAUCCUUUGGAAGCUUCUUCUUCAAUAUUUUCAGUAACUUCUCAAAUCCUUUGUCAGGCACAGCAUUCUCUGCCUUCCACUGCAGCAAUUCCAGUACGGUACCCAGCUUUGUGUUGCCAUCUUCGCAAUUGGGGUACAACCCUUUUUUGUGAUCCUCUAACAUGCGAUCGAACUUUAGCUUCUCCUUUUGACUUCCGCAUUACGUCCUUGCAUCGACAAUGACCGGACGGAGAUCAUCAUCGGGCACAUCGUCUGGUUCCUCUUGAUCUUCAGCAGCUUCCCCCGUUGCAGCAUCAUCGGGCACAUCGUCUGGUUCCUCUUGAUUUUCAGCAGCUCCCCCCAUUGCAGUAUCACCGUAUUCAGGGGCACAUAGUUGUCAUCGUCCUCUUCUUCUUUGCUGUCUUCCAUCAUAACCCCUAUUUCUCCGUGCCUCGUCCAAACAUUAUAGUGUGGCAUGAAACCCUUGUAAAGGAGGUGGGUGUGAAGGAUUUUCCGGUCAGAGUAAGACUUCGUAUUCCCACAUUUAGUGCAUGGACGACACAUAAAACCAUUCUUCUUGUUUGCCUCGGCCACUUCGAGAAAAUUAUGCACGCCCUUAAUGUACUCGGAGGUGUGUCUGUCACCAUACAUCCAUUGUCGGUUCAUCUGCGUGCAUUAUAUAUAAUUAUGUGUGUCAAAAGUAAGAAAAACAGACAAAUAUCUAUCUAAAGUAAGAAAACCAUACAAGUAUUAGAAAGAAGAUAAGAACAAGAGGCUCACCACGGUGGUGCCUGCGACGAGAUCGGCGCGGGCGAUCAACGGCGGUGAAAACGGGGACGAGGCGUGACGGACCGCUAAAUCUAGACAAAUCUCAGGAAAAAUGGAGCUCUGAGGUCGAGCUUCGAGAGGAGAAAGCUUAACUAGUGUGGCUCGGGCAUUUCAUCGAACACCUCAUGUGCAUAGGAGGUGAACUAGAGCACGCAAAUGCCCUCUCCUCGCCGGAUUGAAAAAACAGAGCACUGUGGAGUGCUCUGCUAUGGCGAUUGGCAUAUAUAGGCAAAUUAUUUGUCCCGGUUCGUGGCAUGAACUGGGACUAAAGCCCCCCCUUCUACACCAGUUCAAGGCAUGAACCGGUACCAAUGGCUGUGGGCCAGGAGCAAGGUCCAUUGGUCCCGGUUCGUGCCUAGAACCGGGACAAAUGGGUCCAGACGAACCAGGACCAAUGUCCACAAGGCCCCGACCGGCCCCCUGGGCUCAUGAACCGGGUCUAAUAUCCCCAUGGGUCCCGGUUCGUGAAGAACCGGGACUAAUGGGCUGGCCAGGCCCGAACGAUAGCCAUGUUUUCACUCUUGCAUGUGUAUACACUCUCGUUACACUUACGCAUGCAUACACUCUCUUGUGAUUACCCUAACCCCGUUUGGAUGUAGGAAAAUUAGCUUGGAAUUGCGAAUCUGGAAUUGCCAGCAAAAUUCUGUUGUUUGGAGUGGUACAGAAUUUGGGCUGGGAAAAGUUGGCCCAAUUCCAAACGAUCGACCCGCGCCUGUCCACCCCUCGCGCUAAGUUUCCGAGCGGACGAGCUCGGAAAGGCUCGGAAAUGCCCCCCCACCCCCACCCCCGUACCUGUUCGCUCAGAAACGCCCUCUCUCUCGCGACUCCUCCUCCCGACUCCCCUGAAGCAGCCGGCGGCGGCGGCGGCGUCGGUCAGUUCUCCGGCCCUCCUCUCCCUCUCCCAUCCGUCCCCUCCCUCCUCUUCCUCCCAUCCGUCCCCUCCCUCCUCUUACAUCUCUUGUCCGGCCAUGGCGCGACCUCCUCCAGUGAGGCCCUCAAACCCUAGAUCGUAUCGGGGAUUUGCGGCGGGAUUGGGUGGUCCGCAGGGAACGGCGGCAGUAGUGGAACGACGGCGGUAGUGGCGCCUUCUCCUCCUGUGUGGAGCUCGAUUUUUUGUGGUGUCCUAAGGGGAACUUCAAUUUUUUCUGUACCUUCUCAGAUGCAGUCCAUUGCCUCGAAUUUAAGAGCUCAGAUUUGUGUGUUGCUAACUUAUGAUUGGUUUGAACUAUGCAGAUUCUCAGGGGAUUUUAGGAGCUCGAAAUUCGGUGGUGUCAAGGUAUAUUAUCUACUCCUCCAUGUUUGUACUGUGAUGUUGUUGCUGUGGUUUAGUAUGUACCAAUGCUCUGAAUAAUUCAUGGACAAAUGGUGUCUGCAUUGUAGCUUUUUUAUCAUGUCCCAACAAGAGUUGGUUGCCUACAUUACCGAAGAGAACAAAAGAAGAAAAAGAAAGAGGAUAUUGUUGACAAAUCAGUAUUUUGAAAUGUCAUGUCUAGCAUUUGCUUAUGUUAGUUCUCAGAGGGCACCGAGGAAUCUCGGAUGCUUCGAUGAUGAUGAGGAAAAGGUUGCAUAUCGAAAGUAUAUAUUGAAACAAACUUAUGAGGGGUCCGAGAAAAUUGCUAUGAUAAGCUACGCUUAACUAAAAGGAACUUCCAUGAUCUUUGUGCUAUGUUGCGUGAGAAGUGUGGUCUAAAAGAUAGCACGUUUGUGACAGUAGAAGAAAAUGUUGCUAUGUUCUUACAAGUUGUUGGACAUGGACUUAAAAUGAGGAUGUUGGGUGGCACGUACCAGCGUUCUUUAGAGACUAUCAGUAGGCAUUUGUCUACUGUGUUAUCAGCCAUCCUGUCUCUAACCGGGGAGUUUAUCAAGCUUCCUGAUCCUUCUAUCACCCCUCUCGAUGAUUACAAGUGGAAGUGGUUUCCUAAUGCACUUGGAGCACUUGAUGGGUGUCAUAUUCCGGUGUUUGUUAAUGCUGCUGACAAAGGGAGGUAUAGGAAUAGGCACCAAGAGAUCAGCACUAACAUGUUAGGUGUGGUUGACUGGAACAUGAAAUUUCUCUAUGUUCUACCUGGUUGGCAGGGUUCGUCAUUGGACUCGAGAGUGCUAAAAGAUGCUAUGAGAAUCAAUCGCGAAGAUGCAUUUGUUGUACCACAGGGUAUGACUCUUUCUCUUCGCGUUUCAUUUCUCAUAUGUACUUGUUAGCUAACUUACGUACUUGUCAAUAGGAAAGUACUAUCUUGUUGAUGCUGGCUAUACCAAUGGACCUGGAUUUCUAUACCAAAGUACUAUCUUGGUGAUGGUGCCCUUUUUUGUGUGGUAGCAUGCUGGUUGUGAUGGUGCCUUGUGUGUUAUGGGUUGUACAUGCUUCAUCUUUUGUUUGUACUAAUAUAUAUGUUUACCUUACUCGUGCUUGCUCUAUUGUUCUUACUUUUAUGCACAUUCAUUUAUUUUACUUGUAGAAGCAUGGCCGAACCAAAAGGGAAAAAAAGUAGAGUUUACCUUACAUGGACUCCUGAGAUGGACACGGCAUUGUUGGCUGUCCUUGUUGAGCAUCACAACAAUGGUGACCGUGCUCAAAAUGGUUGGAAGCCACAUGUGUAUAAUGCUUGCAUUAAGCAUGUCAAGGAUACAUGUGAUGUUGACAUUAUGAAGGAAAACAUAACAGGAAGAAUCAAAACAUUUGACAAGCAGUAUGAGAUCAUUACCAAGAUGCUUGCACAGAGUGGCUUUGGAUGGGAUUGGGUAAAGAACAUGGUGUCGGUUGAUAGUGAAGAAGUGUGGUCUCGAUAUGUGGAGGUACUUAACACCAAAUUUAUUUUGUGGUUAUUUUUGCAACUUUAAUAUGAUCUCAUUUGUGUGUUUUGUGUAGGCUAUAAGGAAGCACGUGCCUAUAGGAACAAAGUAGUGCACAAUUGGGAGUCUAUCAAUAUCAUAUAUUCAAAAGAUCAUGCGACCGGUGCAGGUGCUAGGAUAGGAGCUGAAUGUGUUCAAGAACCACAAGACACACCUGUUGUUGAAGAAGCUCCUGAGGUGCCUCAGAAGAGGCAACGCACUGGGGAUGCUAUCUUGUGCAUGAUGGGAAAGAUGAAGAUGUCUUUUGAUGAUGCGUUGAAGACAACCGAGCCACUUCCUAUGCCUAAGGUGACUCCUCCAACAGAAAUCCUUGCUGCACUAAAGAAGGUACCAGAUUUGGAAGAUAGUGAUAUGCUGAGAGCUUAUGGAAAAUUGAUUGUCAAUGAGCGUUUGUUUGAAGCACUCAUGGCGCUACCCGAGGAGUUAAGGAAGCCAUGGCUCUUGACCUUCGAUUAAUUGUUACUAUCCUGUUUAGUUGAUGUAUGGACUACUAUGUACUUUCAUGUUUGUGAAUUAUCCACUUGUGCUAUGUGUAAGAGACAUAGAAGUAUCUGCUUGUGCUAUGUGUAAGAGACAUAAACUUCCAAAAUUAUUGUCCAUGUUGUUUUCUUGGUACUUUAAAACUAUUUUCUGGUAUCCUUCCUUUUUCCAUAUUUAUUUCUACUUGUGUUAUUGUUUUGACCUUAUUCAGAACAUUUUAUAAUGUUAUUAUGUGUGUAAAAUAGACACAUAAUAUUUUUUUUUCAUGCAUGUACAAAAGUUUCUAUUGUCCAAACUCAAAAAACAUCCAAUUCCAUAGUUUGUACAUCCAAACAGCAAUUGGAAUUGAGUGCUACCCUCUGAUUCCAACAAUAAAUUCCAUGCACAACCAAACAAUAGAAUUCGAAUUGGAUCCCAUUUCCUUUCCAUCUUGGAUUUGGAAUUUCCAGUCCAAUUCAAUUCCAAGCAAUUUUUCCUACAUCCAAACACAGCGUAAGUACGAUGCAAAUCGUGACAUAUGGACCCAAUGGGAGAGUGAUAUUGAGUUGUUUAUUGUUUUUGAGAUAGUUAACUUGAUCUCGGGCCAUGUCGUCGCAUGUCCUUCUCAUUAUUUAUGAUCAAGUGCUGGUUAAUGCCAAUGAGAUGGUGGGGUCCAUAUCUCAGUGGUAGAGCAUUUGACUGUGCAUCAAGAGGUCACUAGUUUGAACCCAGUUGGGCCCUGAAGUUUGUUUUUAUCUCUCUUUUUUUAAUUGUCAAACUUAAUUUACUGCUCCAUAUAUAUUUAUUUCUUCAUUGCACACAUGUUUGUCUUGUAUUAAUCUGUUGUGUAACAGGUUCCGAUGUCUCGUUGCGGCUGUGAUGGUAGUGUUGUAUCGGUUAAUCUAAUUUGGUUAUUUGUUUGAUCUGUCGGUAUAGUUAUACGGACAUCAUCAGCAGCACCAUCUUCUUCAACAACGCCUUCAUUUGAGUCCUCACAAGCAGGGUCAACAGCCUAGUCCGAAGAUACUAGUACGACUACUGUCUAGAUCGAGGUGAGGCCCCAGCAAUAUAAUUGAUGUUGUUAUGCCCAGGGAAUGGGAUUCGCAUUAAAGUUUAUUACAUACAUCAUUGGCAACAUCAUAUUCUUCAACAACCCCACUUUCGAGCCCUUGCAAGCAGGGUCAAACAUCCGGGUCCAACGAUACUAGUGAAACUACGUGUCUAGAUAUAGGUGAUGCCCCCAUCAAUAUGCUUGACGGGUUUGUUAUGCCCAAUGAUUCACAUUAAAAAAAUAAGAAUAAAAAUCCUUAAGAGCAUGUUUUUUGUAGGGUCCUAGAGAGUAAUGUAAUGACGCAACCCGAACACAGUGCAUGAGCCAAUAUUUCUAGUUUCACAAUAUCAAUAGGAAACGAAAAAAAAAGAUAUGUGUAUGCAUUGUGUUGGCGCAUGGAGAAUUUUUUUUUCCACCACGCCACUAGUUUUGUUGUGUCGCUCGAUGAUGUUUAAUAGCCUGGCAUUUGGUACAGUUUGGAUUUCAGAAAAUUGCUACUUGUUGCUAAUGUCGUUGAUUUGCAGUUAAUGUCCUUUUAAUUUACUAGAUACAUUUGGACGUUAUUAUUAUCAUUAUUAAUUUCAGUAAACCAUAUUUCAGUAAUGUAUUUGUGUAUGUAGAUGCAUUGGAUCUUUAUUUGAGGGUCAUCGGUUGUUGCACUUUUUGCCAUGCUCUAGUAGGGAUGACAGUUUUGCCCAUGGGUAUGGGUACCCGCGGGUACCCUACCCGAAUACAAUGGGCAUGGGCAAGACUUGAAGAGGUUUUGUACCCAUGGGUAAUGGGUAUCCAUACCCGCAAAAUAUAUGGGUAGGGCAUGGGUAUGAAAUUGCAUCCAUGGGUAACCCAAUGGAUACCCACAAAAAAUUAAUAAAUGAAAAUAAGUCCUAUGACAUGUGGUGUCAACAUCCAACUCCCAUGGUCCAUCCCUAAAUCUUGUAUUCCCUAAACUGGCCAUAUCUCAUAUGCUCACACAUGCUUUCUCGCCACUCCCCCUACAUCAUAUAUGUCUCCUCGAAAAGAUGAAAUAUUGAAUUAAUCAUCGUCGAAAACUCCUGUCCAUCUCUCAAUCCAGCGAUCCCCAAUUCCCACAGUCGUCUCUCACUACAUCGAGAUUCCACCAACCGUUGCUCAUACUCUCUUGAUUCCUCCAAGAGGCCACCCACCGGAGGAGGCUGCGUCGGUGCUAUACUACUCGCUUAUCAUCACUUGAUUUUAGACUCAUUUAUCUAUGUUUUAUAAAUUUAAAUACCAUAUAUUAUACCCAUUGGAUACCCAUUGGGUAUAGGAUACCUGAUGGGUAUGGGCAUGGGUAUCGAUUUAUACCCAUAUGGGUAUUGUAGUGGGUGGGUAUAGAAGGUUUCCAUGGGUAUGGGUUUGGGCAGAAGGAGGUUGUACCCGCCCAUACCCUACCCAUUGCCAUCCAUGUGCUCUAGGGUCAGCCCUACCCGUUGAGAGCGAUGUUUGUACUGUCAAGAGUCGUUGAUUGGAACUGGACCUAGGCAACUAGGGGAACUCAUCAGGUAGCGGCAUCAAGCACUCAUUGUCGUCAAAGUAGAUCUUCCUCGGUAGCGCUCACCAAGCAGAGAAGUUGAAGUCCCCUUCGUCAUUUGGAUCUACGUCUGCACAUUGCCGUCCUGCAGCAACAUCUUGGUGAAGUACGGGAGUCCCCAAAACAGUCAUGUAUCGUCUGCAAAAGAAAAUUAUUAGCCUCAUGAGAUCCUUACAAGACUUUCUUAUAAUUUGGUGGUAUGAGUGCUUGGGUAUAUUCUUUUUUACAUUCAUUCUACAGCAUAUGCAACCUACUUAUAAGUCUGAAUACAAACCACCUAAUUCUAAAAUAAUUAAUAAAAGUGAAGGUCUAAAGUAUCAUAGUUAAUAGUAAUGAUGAAUAUAUGAAGGGGGCACAAGACAAUUUAUUCCAAUCUAGCACCCACCANNNNNNNNNNNNNNNNNNNNNNNNNNNNNNNNNNNNNNNNNNNNNNNNNNNNNNNNNNNNNNNNNNNNNNNNNNNNNNNNNNNNNNNNNNNNNNNNNNNNNNNNNNNNNNNNNNNNNNNNNNNNNNNNNNNNNNNNNNNUAACUUCUACGGGCACGUUUGGUUCAUUAGCUAGCCUUGCUUAACUAGGGUAGAUUUCCUUAGCUGGUCUGAGCAAGAGCUCGUAAGAGCAAACCUGGUUGUUUGGUUGCAACAUGUCGUACGCUGGAUAACGUCACAUAAAGCAACUCCAGUGGUGUGGGCGCGUCGUGGACCGUGACUCAUGGAGGGGAGUUAUGUUACGAGUGUACAAGGAAGUGGAAUUGAUUUUUUUGCGCCUGUUGGUUGCCCACACAGGCGAGCCAAAUUGGCUCUACUCCAGGAGCAAGGUUUUGACAGCAGUUAUUAGGUUAAUUGCCAUCAAAAGCUAGAUUUUCAUGUCCAUACCAAACGCCUAACCUUGUCCAGCAAGGCUAGUUUAGUUUUUGCCUUAGAUACAAACGCACCCUAAGUCGCUCUGCCAUUGCCAGCAACAUAAGCAUGGCCACAGUCACAAUAAAAUUUUACUUUACAAAUGAAAGGCUAUUAGAUUGCCCCCUAAGUACUAGUAUUACUAGUAGCUAGGUACAGUAAGAGCAGGCUGCAAGUACUAAUAGCUUAUGUCACUAUUUAUGAAAAAAAUGUUCUUAUAUAGUUGAUGAUUUUUAAGCAACAUGUAAAGAAAACAUAUUAGCAUAUACAAAAACUGUUCCAUAAAUGAUUUGUUCUACUUGCCUAGCUGGUUGCCAAUUUAGUUCUACCAAAUAGUCACAUCAUUUUAUAAAAUUUUGUCUUUUUUUUAGGGAAACAACUAACUUUAAUUAAGCAAAGUCAGGGAUCUCGUCCGCAACAACAGAAAGGAUACAAUCAGGGGGCGCAACUCGCCAAACCUGGGAAAUACCAUCACCUACCGCUACCUUAGCCAGGGUAUGAGCAGCACGGUUAGCUGUUCGUCUACGCCAUGAAAUCUUGCACCCCAUCCAGUCCCGCAUGAGUACCUUAAUAUCUUCAACAAUGGGCCCAGCGACCGAUAGGUUUCGAAGAUCAGAGUUGACCAUGGACACUGCUUCACGACAGUCCAUCUCCACGUGAAUUCUUGUAAUCCCCAGCUCUCUGCAUAAGUUCAGAGCCAAACGACAGGCCAGCAGUUCAGCGAUCUCCGGCUUCUGGCAGUUAGGGAAGAGCUGGGCCAGUGCCCCUCUAAACGCGCCUUCGUGAUCUCUGACCACCACCGCGCCGCCUCCAUUACCAGUGACAGCAGAAAGUGCGCCAUCAACGUUCGCCUUGUGCCAGCCGGCCUCCGGCGCCUGCCAUUGUUCCGGUGGGGGUCUGGCUUUAACACAAGCAGUCUUCGUCACCACCUCCGUCCAUUCAUCAAUCAGCCGCGACACCGAACACGCUACCUCAACCGGGCUUUUGAUGCGUACCCCGUCACGAGCUUCAUUCCUUGCGAGCCAAAGCUCGUACAGCCCCUGCAUGAUCAUCUCCUUUUCUUCCUCACGCGCAUUGCCCAUCCAGUUCCAGAGCCACCUGCCAACUUCAUGGUUAGUAGCAACACCAACAGGAGGAACCGGAGCAGGAACGCUGCGCCGGGCAGCCAACUCAGCCCAGAACUGCUGUGAAUGAUGGCAGCUCCAAAACCGGUGUAGUAACGUUUCCUCCCGACCGCAGGCAGUACAGAAGAUACCAGGCUUAAUCCGACGUCGCAGCAGUUCUGACCCAGUGGCCAGUCCAUUGCGCAUCAGCCGCCAACAGUGGAUCUUAACCUUAUUUGGGGCGUGAGUGCCCCACAAGGAUAGCCAGCUCCUGUGAGCAGAAACCGAGGAAGACGAUCCAGGGCUCCCUGUCGGUACUUAUAAGAUUGAGUUACCUUAAUCUUUUGUUGUGCUUGUCAUUUUUAUUAUACCUAGUUACUGUAUUGUCUAAUAAGCUUGUCAGUAUUUAUAAGAAUCGAGUUGACACAACAUUUUGCUAUGCUUGUCAAUUUAAUUCCAUCUAGUUGUCGUGUUUUCUCAUAAAGCAUGUCCAUUAUUGUACAAUCUAGUUGUCGUGGUGUUUUGUUAUACUUAUCAGUUUAAUUCUAUCCAGUUGCCAUAUUGGUUCAUAAAACUUGUUGAUUGUUUUAAAAA